GACGAACGCUGGCGGCGUGCCUAACACAUGCAAGUCGAACGGAGAUACACGUCGGGAUGGAAUCAGCUUGCUGAGGAAAUUCUUGUGUAUUUCAGUGGCGGACGGGUGAGUAACGCGUGAGUAACCUGCCUUUCAGAGGGGGAUAACGUUUUGAAAAGAACGCUAAUACCGCAUAACACUGUGGGAUCGCAUGAUCCUAUGGUCAAAGGAGCAAUCCGCUGAGAGAUGGACUCGCGUCCGAUUAGAUAGUUGGUGGGGUAAAGGCCCACCAAGUCGACGAUCGGUAGCCGGACUGAGAGGUUGAACGGCCACAUUGGGACUGAGACACGGCCCAGACUCCUACGGGAGGCAGCAGUGAGGAAUAUUGGGCAAUGGGGGAAACCCUGACCCAGCAACGCCGCGUGAGGGAAGACGGUUUUCGGAUUGUAAACCUCUGUCCUCUGUGAAGAACAAUGACGGUAGCAGAGGAGGAAGCUCCGGCUAACUACGUGCCAGCCGCCGCCGUAAAAC
rnacentral:rRNA from 1 species